rnacentral:misc_RNA from 1 species
GAGGCAAAGAUUCCAAAUUUGCCUGUUUUGUGGAAUGAGUAUUUUGACAAGCUAAAUAGAAAAUUUUUUGGGGCUUCCCUAGCAUUCUCAAGCACUUUUGCUUUUGUGUGCUUCUUUUGUAGAUAUCCUGCAAUAAGAGAUCAAAUAUAUUUUUGGGAAAGAUAGGGAGGAAAAACAUAAAAAAUGUGACCAAUAUUGAUUUUGACAAGGAAUGCCUCUGAAUCACCUCUAACCCAUGGUUAAAAACUAAGAAGAAAUUAUAAAAGAUGGAAAAGAUUGAUCUCUUCCCGUUAAAAAAAUAUCGAUAAUCAAUAAUGCAAAACCCAAGUCUGAAAGUUUAAUCAAGCAGUCUAUAACAUUCUCAAUUAACCAUUUUGAAGAGAAGUGAAAGGGAGAUUAAAAGAAUAAAUAAAUAAAUAAUCAGAAUGUAGCUUCUUGGACAUUGAUCAUUCCAACGAUAAAAUCUACAGACGCAAAUUAUAUAGACUAAAUGAACAGUAAAAAAAUUCUAACAAAAAUUAAAUGAUUGAAAUAAAAAAUUCCACAUCUCGUACUAAGAAAAACACUGAAGAUUAAAGCUUAGAUGUAUCAAUUCACAGAAAAAUUCGAAAAGAAAAUAGAUUAAAAAAAAAAAGAUAGAAUAAAAUGGAGGAGACCAUCAUCAUCAUCAUC